UCAGACGAUGCGUCAUGCAUAUCAAUAAGCGGAGGAAAAGAAACUAACAAGGAUUCCCCUAGUAACGGCGAGUGAAGCGGGAAGAGCUCAAAUUUGAAAUCUUAAAGGGUUUCCCUUUACGAAUUGUAGUUUAAAGAAGUGUUUUCUGUUGAGGUUUUGGUAAAAGUUCUUUGGAAUAGGACAUCAUAGAGGGUGAGAAUCCCGUAUUUGACCUUUACUUUCAACUUUGUGAUACACUUUCAAAGAGUCGGAUUGUUUGGGAAUGCAGUCCAAAAUGGGUGGUAAAUUUCAUCUAAAGCUAAAUAUUGGCGAGAGACCGAUAGCGAACAAGUACCGUGAGGGAAAGAUGAAAAGAACUUUGAAAAGAGAGUUAAACAGUACGUGAAAUUGUCAAAAGGGAAGCGUUUGACACCAGUGUUGUUUUUCUGAAAAUCAAUUAAAGAACUGUUUAUGCUAAGCUGUUUAGACUUUAUCAGCUAACUGUUUAGUUUUGGGCUUUUCUUUAAUGCACUUUUCAGUUAACAAGUCAACAUCAAUUUCUUUUGCUGUAAAAAAGCUUGAGGAAGGUGGCUUGAGAUUCGUCUUAAGUGUUUAUAGCCUCUUGCCUAUGCAGUCGGAGAGAUUGAGGUCUGCAGCGUAGAUCCUUCGGGGCUAAAUGCAUUUGUGCUAAGUUAUAGCAUUUUAUAGACAACUUGUUGACUAUGAUUUGUCUUGUAGCUUACUCGCUUAUGUUAUUUUACCUACGCUUAGGAUGUUGAAUCUGUGCGAGACUAC
rnacentral:rRNA from 1 species